rnacentral:lncRNA from 1 species
UUCUAGGUGCUUCUGUGAAUCGCUCUGUUUUCCCUAGGUUAACGGCUCGGGCAACGUUUUUGUUUUGCUCAGAGGCUCGGCAAAUCGUCAGCGCGGGAAAGAUGGCAGUUGAAUGCGAGGUGCCCUCUCCAGUUCCCCUGAUGGAUCUGCGGAGUCGGAUAUCUGGCGCUGCGGAGAACCGAGCUGAUUGCAGUACCAGCACUCUGAAGCACUUAUUUGAGCAGGAAAGAUAAAGAGGAGCCGAUUACCCUUGAGAGGGAGGACCGGCUGCGGGCCGCACCCACGUGGAGACUGGAAGGGCGAGCCUCUCCAGGACAGCCCGUAUUUGGAUCUCCUGGUCUGAGCUGAUGAUUGCCAUCCUCCAGGCAUAAUCUCUGCUGAGAGGCUCGCCAUCGUGCAGCGCUAUGCAUUGCCAGAGCACGUGAGUGCUUUCUUGGAAACUUCCACAAGCGUCGUCCGAAAGGAAAGGGCCGCAGCCUUGCGGGAGACACGGAUGCAACUCCCAAACGAGAGUGUAACCGUCUUUGCGGAGCAAAUGACCUGACUAUUCCGCCACGCUGACCCUGCCAUGACCAAGGAAAAGGUCCAUUUCCUCAUGCGAGGAGUAAAACAAGAGCUCUUUGCCGGGUUGAUGCGGAAGCCCCCCUUGGCAGCUCAAGAAUUUGUCUCCGAAGCAACGACCAUCGAGAAGACGCUGGAAAUGCGAACCUGCCAGUACAAUCGCCGUUCGACUUAAGACAGCCCAGCUGUCCAUGCCCUCUGCUACGACGACCUGCGCGAAACGAUCCGAGCGAUCAUGCGGGAGGAACUGCGCAAGCUGUUACCCUCACCACAGCCUCAAGUGGA